rnacentral:rRNA from 12 species
GAUUUAAAUUAGAACUCAGAAGGCAGAAGUGGGGAAAGACUUCAUGUGAAUUGCAAUAUA